AGGAUACAACCUUGGAUCACUGUAAGCCAAUCUGAACAAACAAUAAAAUCCACUUUGGAAUUGUUCAAGGGUAUCGACCUUGGACAACUAUCCGAGCUGACCAUCCUCACUCCAACACAAGUUCGAAGAAUUUACCAAGUUGACAUAUGAUCAAAAUAAGAAAUACAUCAAAACAUAAAGAAGUGAAGUCCAUUUCAUUACUUAAAGAAAGUUUACUAC
rnacentral:lncRNA from 1 species